GGAGUUGUGGCUUAGUGGUAAGAGCACUUGCCUAGCAUGUGUGAGGCCCUGGGUUCGAUUCUCAGCACCA
rnacentral:tRNA from 1 species